rnacentral:rRNA from 1 species
AUGAUCGAGCUCGUCGCAAGUAGCAGUCCAUGGCUGCCAUCUUCCACUUUCCGCUGCCUAGGUCCUUUCCUAUGGAGCUGCAAGGUUUCUCCUCUUCUCCCUCCCAUGCUCUCUCUCAUUGUCUGUGUUCAUGUGUACUGCUGCUUCAAUUUCUUUGUGAUGCAAAUGUUGAACAUUUUGUUUAGUAAAAAGCUACAAAAAAAAUCAGUUUUUCUCGUUGCGAAAAUUUCUGAAUUUUGCUCUGGUCUAUCAGUUCGACAUGUAUUCUACUUCAGUUCAAUAAGUCAUUUCAGUUUAGUACGUCGGAGUAUCAUGUACGUCGGUUUAGUUCAGUACGAAAACAUUAGAGAUUCAACAAACAUAAUCAUGUCGCACAAGUUCAAGUAUAGGUAUAGAAGUUUCUCACCAUAA